GCUCCUGGCAGGGAUGAUCAGGCCUGGCUGGCCCACACCACACCCACUGUGGCAUCCAGUGCGGGUGGUGGGGCGGGUACACACGCGCCCUGAAGCUUUCCAGUGGGGAUCACCCCCCAAACCCAGGCCAAAGGAAGGCAUGGUCUCCCUGGAAGGCCACAGGGGCACCUGGCUGGGACACCAGGAGACCACCGCGCUCCUCCACAUUGGGGAAUGGAAUUCUCCUUGCACUGUCCCUGAUUUGAAAUUCGGUGACCGUGUGUUUUAAAAACACUGUAAGAUAAUUUCACUGUCGCUUGUGCUCGGUGUUCAGACACCAGGACAGUGUCUUCAGCACCACACAAGGAUUCCCAGAACCUGGGUUUGUCCCGGAGCGCAGUGGAUGUGAACAUGAAUGAGACGAAGCCCGGGGACGGUGGCUGGAAAGAGUGGGCUCGCGCUUGCUGACCUCUCACUGCACCCAGGGCCGUCCCGAACCAUGCAUGCAGGUCGGGUGCUCACGCUGCCCCAGGUGGGACAGCUGCCAUGUCUGCCUCUGGUGGAAGACUCGGGGACCCUGGCCAGGGGCCCUGGUAGACCAGCAGAGCGGCCCCAGCCUCCAGCUCCAGGGCCUGAGCCAGAGCCCCUGUCCCCCAGGGGCCCCGUGGACCCCGCUAUGUCUUCCUGCUCCUCUGCUCUGCUCUGUCCUCUCCUGUGGGGUCACCACAGCCUCUGGUGCUCCAGGACCCUGUCCCCUGGCUGAAGCAUCCGCAGCAGAGACUGGCAGGGUCAUCCCUAGUCCGUGCCUUCGGGGGCCAAGUCUCCAGGGGGGACCUGUGAAUGUCCUGGGCAGAGAAGGUGGCCAGAGGCCCUGAGCGAGGCCUGGAUGUGUGCAGCCCAUGGAGAGGCCAAGCGGCUCUGCAUGACGGGGACAGCGUCCCAAGAGGUGGGGGACAGGCCCAAGGCUGGGCAUUCCUGGCUCAGGGCCCAGAGAAGGAAGAGGGUGACAGAGCAGUCCACAGGCCAAGGGCUCGGUUUAGCGGUCUCAUCGUGAUCUGGGACGAGAGGGAGCCACAGAGGUGAAGGCGAGGGAGCACAGGACUGGAGAUGCGUGUCCCAGAUGUGUGUGGGCAGUGUGGAUAGCGGGGGGGCCGGACACAGAGGCCGCAGGAGCUGCUUCCGGGUAACAGGACAGCAGAAGGAUGGGCAGGAGGUGCGGACGGGGAGCCGGGGGCAGGAACCUGAGGACACCGGCGAGUGAGCUUCUCUGAGAUUGCCCACAGGAAGGCCACCCUCAGAGGCUGGAGAACGGCCUGGGUGCGCAUCCCCCUUCUGGGGACCCACAGGGCCCCGACUGAGGAGGAUGGGCAGGAGGUGUUGGAGCAGGAAGGCAGUGUGGGCUGGACCUUGACUUUGGGCAGUGGACAGGGGGGAGGAGGGAGGAUGCCCCCCGCCUGCCCUGCAGCCCCUCACCCUGGGGACCCGGGCCACGUCAGCACCUGGCCUUAGCCCUCGGAACACGGCUCGUGUCAGGGACUCCGGAGGGCCAUCGGCUGCCUCAUCAGCAUGGGGACCCAGCCCCGCCGCUCUGUAAACACUCCGGCCUGGACCCAAGGCCUUGCCCAAAGUCCCUGGAGCUCUCGGGGUUCAAACCCAGGCUGACGUCAGAGUUUGCAUCAGGGUUCCUGGCACCCAGGAGGAAGGGGGUGGGGAGCCCAGGGCUCCAGGAGCCCCCUGAUCCACCCGGGGUCUGACUGCGGCCCCAGGAAAUCCACACUCUGUCCAGGCUGCCCAACACCUAUCCAGGGAUGGCCACUGGCAGAGAGGGUAGCCAUGGCCCUCCUGGGGGGCCCAGGGCAGGACUGAGGCUCUGUGUCCUGCUGAGGGGUAGAGACCCCAUCAUAACACAGAAGGGGAAACCAAGCCUCACAGGGGCCUCAGCAGAGGGCAGCAUGGCCCGGAGCUCGCGCUGACCGAGCAAAGCUGUCUCUGUCCCCAAACCAUGAAGCUAUCACUGAGCACCAGAUCCCUGCUCCCCGAGCCCGCUUUCGCCCUGUGAGUCAGUGCGAGUGACGGACACCAUGGCCACCCAGACGAAGGCCCUGGGCAGUGGGUAAGGGGGCCCCACACAGGUCAGGAACAGGAACUGCUUCUCCUGUCCCAAGGGCCGCCUGGCCAGUGUUGUGUCCCUCAGCCACAGGCGGGGCUUGUGGGGUUGGCGUUCCUGCCCUGUGGGUUAGCACAGGCUGACCCCUCCCCUGAGGGCUGAGGGUCACCCCCAGAGUCAGCAGGCCCCUCGGCUGAAUGCGAGGCUGUGCAGCGUGCGGCAGAGUUUAUGGGACAAUUCUGGAGAGGCAGAUGAAAGUCCGCUCAAGGAAGAGCCCAGGGAGCCUUCUGGUGGGGCUCAGGCGGGCCUUCUGGGUGACAGGCGGGGAUGCCGGCAGAUUCUUCCUAGAAAGCGCCUGCCUGCGUUCUUCACACCGGCAAAUGCUCCUCCAAUCAGCUGUCAUCACGUCAUUCUACCUGCCCCUUAGCUCCGCCCCUAUCAAAUUUCAAAUAAAAGCCAGGGUUCCCCCCCCCACCAAGCUGCCAGAAGGUGCCUGUCUCUUCAGCAGCCCUUCCAUUCCCUCAAUAAAGCCCUUUGCUCUUC